rnacentral:rRNA from 1 species
UACGUAGGGUGCGAGCGUUAAUCGGAAUUACUGGGCGUAAAGCGUGCGCAGGCGGUUGGGCAAGACAGAUGUGAAAUCCCCGGGCUCAACCUGGGAAUGGCAUUUGUGACUGUCCGGCUAGAGUGUGUCAGAGGGGGGUAGAAUUCCACGUGUAGCAGUGAAAUGCGUAGAUAUCUGGAGGAACACCGGUGGCGAAGGCGGCAUCCUGGACCGGCAUUGACGCUGAGGCGCGAAAGCCAGGGGAGCAAACGGG